rnacentral:rRNA from 1 species
AUUGAACGCUGGCGGCAGGCCUAACACAUGCAAGUCAAGCGGCUGAAGGGAGCUUGCUCCUGGAUUCAGCGGCGGACGGGUGAGUAGUGCCUAGGAAUCUGCCUGGUAGUGGGAGGUGACGUCCGGAGACAGGCCCUAAUACCGCCUGCGUACUGAGGGAGGACGCGUGGGAUCUUCGGACCUCACGCUGUCAGCUGAGCCUAGGGCGGAUUAGCUAGUUGGUGGGGUAAAGGCCUACCAAGGCGACGAUCCGUAGCCGGUCUGAGAGGAUGAUCGGCCACACUGGAACUGAGACACGGUCCAGUCUCCUACGGGAGGCAGCAGUGGGGAAUAUUCGACAAUGGGCGAAAGCCUGAUCCAGCCAUGCCGCGUGUGCGAAGAAGGUCUUCGGAUUGUAAAGCACUGUAGGUUGGGAGGAAGGGCAGUAAGUGAAUCCCGCGCUGUUGUGACGGUACCAACAGAGUAAGCACCGGCUAACUUCGUG